CAUACCCCUUCUCUCUCACUAAGAAUCCUACCCCUACCCCCACCACCACCACCCACCUACCACCACCUGAGUCCGGCCAAAACCCACCACCCCCCUCUCUCUCUACCUUUCUCCCUCUAUAUUUCUACUUUUCUCCACAACCACCACCAACGCCACCAUACUUACCGUUGAACCAGUUGCAAAUCACCGUUAACGGCCACAAAACCCUAGAUCUGGCACCGAGUCAACUGAUUUCAAAAAACGUAACAUCUAUUUGGUCGUCACCGGUUCAAAUCUCAGCGCCAGAGGAGAAGGAAGUAAAGGUCCUGAAACUAGAGAAACCGCCGCCGGUGAAACCGAAACCGGAUGUAGCUUCCACUAGCUCGCCGGAGCGGUUUCUAACAUAACCGCUACUCAAAACCCUAACUGAUUGUGCUUGAAUCGUCGAUACAGAACGAGAAAGCGUUAAAGCUAGCAAAAUCGUUGAAGAGACUAUAUGUGGAGAGGUUGUUGUCUGGGCGACGAAUAGCGGUCGUGGUAGGGAAUGAAGAAGGUAGCAAAAGAGAACAGAUGGAGGAAAAGGAACAAUGUCGGAAAAAAUGGAAGAUGCAGGUUUUGAGAAGGUGAAGUUUAGCAAUUGUGCAAGUUUUGAUAUAUAUGUGAAUGCUCUAAGGGGUUUUCAUGGUAGGUUUUAAAAUUUGGGUUUUUACUUUAAAUCAUGUGAUGGUUGCAGUGAUGGUUGUAGUGGGACUUGGGAGAGGUUGAUGGUGACAAGUGGUGGUGGUGUGUGUGUGAGAGAGGGGGGGGGGGGGAGAGAUGGUAGAGAGAGAGAAUUUAAUAAAUGAGUAAGAUCUCUGUAUAAAAAAUGCCUAAUAUAAAUAAAGGGGUAAAAGGACUAAUUUGCCCUCAUAUGGGGUCCAAUUGGUGAGAUUUAACCAUAAAAACUAACUGAGUUAGGGCUAAAGGACGUAAUAUGCAAGGGUUUGCAAACAUCGAGUACGUUUUUUGUACUUUUUGAAGACAAAGGACACACUUUGCAAUUUAGUGUUAACAUAAAGGACGUUUUAUGUAAUUUACUCUAAAAAAAUAGCACGUUCAAAAAAAUAGCAUGUGAAAAAAAAGUCGCAUAUGGUUAAAAAAAAACAAAAACCGCAUGUUGAAACUGCAUCUCGUACCCAUUGUACGUUAAUGCAAUUUGUACGUUAACCAACCUCUAUAAAUAUAUACUAGUAGGGGACCUGCGCGAUGCCGUUGACACAUGAAUUGUUAAUUCAUUCUAUUAUAUGUAUUCAAAACCUAUGUUUACUCACCAACUUUUUAGUUGACUCUUUAUUUUUAUACAUGUUACAGGAAAUGCAGUUUGAGUUUCUUCAGAGUUUGAUACUACACAUAUAAUGCUAUGGACCUAGUUUAAAUAAAUCAAACAAUAUUUUAUGUUCAUGUUUUUUUUUGUAAAUUAUUUGAUUCUUUUAUGAUUAUGGAAUUAUCU
rnacentral:lncRNA from 1 species